rnacentral:rRNA from 1 species
UACGUAGGGUGCGAGCGUUAAUCGGAAUUACUGGGCGUAAAGCGUGCGCAGGCGGUUUUGUAAGACAGGCGUGAAAAUCCCCGAGCUCAACUUGGGAAUUGCGCUUGUGACUGCAAGGCUAGAGUGUGUCAGAGGGGGGGUAGAAUUCCACGUGUAGCAGUGAAAUGCGUAGAGAUGUGGAGGAAUACCGAUGGCGAAGGCAGCCCCCCUGGGACAUGACUGACGCUCAUGCACGAAAGCGUGGGGAGCAAACAGG